rnacentral:tRNA from 1 species
AGCCCGGUGGUGUAGUGGUCAAGCAUACAGGGCUCUGGACCCUGUGAUCGAGGGUUCGAAUCCCUCCCGGGCUA